rnacentral:rRNA from 1 species
UACGGAGGAUGCAAGCGUUAUCCGGAUUCACUGGGUUUAAAGGGUGCGUAGGUGGGCAGGUAAGUCAGUGGUGAAAUCUCCGAGCUUAACUCGGAAACUGCCAUUGAUACUAUCUGUCUUGAAUUAUCUGGAGGUGAGCGGAAUAUGUCAUGUAGCGGUGAAAUGCUUAGAUAUGACAUAGAACACCAAUUGCGAAGGCAGCUCACUACGGGAUAUAUUGAC